GUAACCAUCGUCAAAUGCUUCUAGCUGGAAAGAGUCCACAUGCUGUGUCGUUUGUUUGGUAGUGUCUUGAACGUGAAAGGAAGACAGGCAGUGGCAGCCGAAGAGCCUCAGCCACACCUCUUCUUAUCAUAAUUUAUCAGCGUCGGAACGUCAUUCUUUGCUUGCAUUUACGUCCAUUUUUGCUUGCAUUUGCUGAUAAAGAUUGGUCAUUGGCGUGGCAAUCUUGAAAUGAGGAAGCGCAGUUCUGGCAGUUGUCGUGUCCCCAAAAGUUAACAAAAAGCCGCUCCACUAAUUGAGCACUUGAGCAUAACUCUUGAUAAGAUUUCUACAUGCCAACGUCACUCAAGAAGUAAGCCAACUUCGCGGCUUCCUCUUCUUAAAAAUAGUAAAUAGCAAGUGGAACCUGGUAAAAAUUGUCAUGAAAGAGGAGACUUAAAAACGUAUAUUUAUUGAAGACCAUAGACGUGAUUGACCUAGCUCCGUUGGCACAGUUGUUGAUAGAUCAGGAAGUAUCUUCGAACUUUUUAAAAAAUUAAAAAAUUAAAAAUAUCGGCUUAGAAAAACUUCAAAAUAAAAAUUAUUUUAAAAAAAUAUUUUUAGCAUGUAUCGAAAAGCUGUUUUAGAUAUAUAAUUUUUUUAGAUCAAAAUAUUCAUAAUAAAAUUAUAUAAUUAUAGAAAGUGUACCUUUAU
rnacentral:lncRNA from 1 species